UAAUACUGAAGGAAUUAUUUUCUCCAAUAACUCCUCUUAAACCAUUCUAUAAAUAGAGACACUUAUGCAUUGGAAAAGUCAUAUCAUCUUUUGUUAUCUCAUGAGUAGAAACACAAAGUGAGAAUUAGAGAAACAUUAUAAUGGUUGAGUAAGGAAAGCGUAUUGUCAUAAAGAGAAGGAAGCAAAUUGAGUUCCUAAUCAUCAAGGAAUGUGUAAAGGAAAGACGUGUAAGUGAAAACAAAGACAACUAGAAAGUGCACCAAAACGAAGAAAAAUUGAAAUGGAAUUAGGUAUUCCUUAAUCUGAAGCAAGAAGAAGCCUAUGGCACAUGGUGGCUACGCAACGGUGGUACGAAGAUGGCGCAACCGUGACAGUUGCGACUCUUUCACCAUAUUAGUGGAUAAGGAGAUAGCUUCCUCGUUAUUCUCUUUGGCUACAAAAGGCACUUUAUGUGAGGCCCUUUUAGUUUUCGAGAAAAACCAAAAGGUUAAUGAUUUAAUUCCUGAUAGCGAUAUUUAUUGAGAUGGAUAACUACACAUCCUGAAAAAGAUUAGUUUACUGAUAAAGUUAGGAGUACCCUAUGUACUACCUAAAAACGACACUUAUCUAUUCCACAUAGAAAAGAAACAACCAUUAUCAUUUGAGUUUAAAUGAGAGGGAGAAGGGCGGGGAAACGAAUUUUAUGAAGUUCAAUCAAAGCAUCCAUUUUGUCAAUAGUUUUGAGUUUGUUACAUGUUCCAAAAUCAUAACUCUCAAGAGUCUUAUGUUUAUGAUGUUUAUCAAUGAUUCUUACAUAUGCUUCACAC
rnacentral:lncRNA from 1 species